rnacentral:rRNA from 1 species
AGUGAACGCUGGCGGUAGGCCUAACACAUGCAAGUCGAACGGCAGCACAGUAAGAGCUUGCUCUUACGGGUGGCGAGUGGCGGACGGGUGAGGAAUACAUCGGAAUCUACUUUUUCGUGGGGGAUAACGUAGGGAAACUUACGCUAAUACCGCAUACGACCUACGGGUGAAAGCAGGGGAUCUUCGGACCUUGCGCGAUUGAAUGAGCCGAUGUCGGAUUAGCUAGUUGGCGGGGUAAAGGCCCACCAAGGCGACGAUCCGUAGCUGGUCUGAGAGGAUGAGCGGCCACACUGGAACUGAGACACGGUCCAGACUCCUACGGGAGGCAGCAGUGGGGAAUAUUGGACAAUGGGCGCAAGCCUGACCGAGCAAUACCGCGUGGGUGAAGAAGGUCUUCGGGUCGUAAAACCCUCUUGUUGGGAAAGAAAAGAAGCAGGUGUAUACCCCGAUGUUCUGACGGUACCUAAAGAGUAAGCAACGGCUAACUUCGUG